AGCAGCCGCGGUAAUUCCAGCUCCAAUAGCGUAUAUUAAAGUUGUUGCAGUUAAAAAGCUCGUAGUUGAAUUUCGGAGUUUGUCGGUUGGUCGGGCUUCACUGUCCGCACUGGCCUGAUGGAUUCCUACCUUCUGAAUAACCAGCAUGCUAUUAAUUUAGUGCGUUGGGGAAGCAGAGCUAUUACCUUGAAAAAUUAGAGUGCUUAAAGCAGGCUUACGCUUGAAUAGAUUAGCAUGGAAUAAUAAAAUAGGACGGCUUGGUUCUAUUUUGUUGGUUUCUAGGAUCACCGUAAUGAUUAAUAGGGAUAGUUGGGGGCAUUAGUAUUCAAUUGUCAGAGGUGAAAUUCUUGGAUUUAUUGAAGACUAACUUCUGCGAAAGCAUUUGCCAAGGAUGUUUUCAUUAAUCAAGAACGAAAGUUAGGGGAUCGAAGACGAUCAGAUACCGUCGUAGUCUUAACCAUAAACUAUGCCGACUAGGGAUCGGACGAUGUUAAUUUUUAAUGACUCGUUCGGCGCCUUA
rnacentral:rRNA from 1 species